AGGGUUUGAUCCUGGCUCAGAGAGAACGGUGGCGGCGUGGAUUAGGCAUGCAAGUCGCACGAGAACGGUUUAGCUUGCUAGACCAAGUAAAGUGGCGAACGGGUGAGUAACGUAUGGACAAUCUAUCCUUGACUCGGGGACAACAGCUGGAAACGGCUGCUAAUACCCGAUAGCCCCGGUAGGAGGUACUCCGGCCGGGUAAAGGGGGGCAACUUCCGAUCGAGGAGGGGUCCAUAUCCCAUCAGCUUGUUGGCGAGGUAACGGCUCACCAAGGCAAUGACGGGUAGCCGAACUGAGAGGUUGAUCGGCCACAUCGGGACUGAGACACUGCCCGGACUCCUACGGGAGGCUGCAGUCGAGAAUCUUCCGCAAUGGACGAAAGUCUGACGGAGCGACGCCGCGUGAAGGAUGAAGGCCCUCGGGUCGUAAACUUCUGUCACUCGUGAAGAAUGUCUGCAGUAAAGCUGUCGACUGACGUUAGCGAGAGAGGAAGCCACGGCUAACUUCGUGCCAGCAGCCACGGUAAGACGAAGGUGGCAACCGUUGCUCGGAUUCACUGGGCAUAAAGAGCGCGUAGGUGGCUAGGCAGGUCGACGGUGAAAUCCCACGGCUCAACCGUGGAACUGCCGCCGAAACCGCCUGGCUUGAGGACGGGAGGGGAGAGUGGAACUCUUGGUGUAGCGGUGAAAUGCGUAGAUAUCAAGAGGAACGCCGGUGGCGAAAGCGACUCUCUGGACCGUUCCUGACACUGAGGCGCGAAAGCUAGGGGAGCAAACAGGAUUAGAUACCCUGGUAGUCCUAGCUGUAAACGAUGGGCACUGGGUAGGGGUGGACUGAUGCCUUCCCUGCCGGAGCUAAUGUGUUAAGUGCCCCGCCUGGGGAGUAUGGUCGCAAGGCUAAAACUCAAAGGAAUUGACGGGGGCUCACACAAGCGGUGGAGGAUGUGGUUUAAUUCGAAACAACGCGCAGAACCUUACCCGGGUUUGAAAUGCAGGGAUUAGGCUCCUGAAAGGGAGCUGACGCCGUAAGGUGGAACCUGUACAGGUGUUGCAUGGCUGUCGUCAGCUCGUGUCGUGAGAUGUCGGGUUAAGUCCCUUAACGAGCGAAACCCUUGUCUUUAGUUGCCAGCGGGUAAUGCCGGGGACUCUAGAGAGACUGCCGUUGUUAAAACGGAGGAAGGUGGGGAUGACGUCAAGUCAUCAU
rnacentral:rRNA from 1 species